UGUAAAGUAUAAAACGGCUUUUGUAGUUGUUUUUUUAUUGAGUGUUAGCCUUUGCCAUUUGGACACUACUCCGCAGUUGCUUAAUAAAAAAUAUUUUGAAUUCAUACACCAUAAAGGUUAAGGACUUGGAACCAUUCAUACUACAGUCAGGCCAACAGUGUAUACAGAUGACGUCAGGAGUUCACAGGUGACGUUCAUCUGCAUCAACAAGGCAGGGAGCCGUGUACUCAGAGUGGCGGAUUCCAAAAGUAUAGCUUGGCGCUUUUGGUCGCGUGAUCAUCACCUGAACAUGAGCUCCAGGUCCUGGUGUCCUGGUGGUCUCCGUGGGAGUGAAGUGGCGACCCAUCGCGCUGUACUGAGGGGCUCUGCUCUUGUAAAGGCAGGUGUCCACAACGUUGUAUGCUGCUGGGCCGGGCGUCUGCCAGGUCCUGGCUGAUGCUUCCAACUUUGGUGCGACCACUCAGGGAGUACGCCGGUGCUCCGGGGAUGCCCACGGUUUUGGGACCGAACACUGAGGGCAGAGUGUAGGAGGCUGGACCUGCAGUGCAGCAGAGACAGUGAAAAGGCCGAUGCUGAGCGGAAUACUGACUUAUCUGAGCGCUCAGGUGAGUAGUGACCUGAGUUAGAUGUGUAUCAACAGGAAAAAUGUAUCUGGGUUGUUGACAUCAACAGUAAGGUAAAGCUGAAGCUGUUGAGUUCAGACUGAACUGACCUGGUCCUGGAGCGGUGAAGGCUUGUGGCUCCUUGACACGACUGUGAAGUGAAAAUGCCGGUCCCCCAUCACGGCCUGCUCUGGUGAUGUUAGAUGGUAUGGCAUAUUUAGGUCCUGGGGAGGUGCAGGAGUCCGGCUGGUCAUGGCGCCGUCCAAAACUGAAUAUGGGUGCUCGGGUUUUGGUCUUGUCGUGGUUUGAAACACCUGUCAGUGACACGGUCUCAGCAAAUGACACCUUCAAAAUUGAUAUUGCGCUGUGAAACCUGCGGCACCUAUGAGUCCUGGCAGGGCGUAUUUGGGUCCUGGGCUGCUGUACUGAGCAGCAAUGGGCCCUCUGGGUUUGUGGGGCCGCCAAGUCCCGACCCAGCUUUCUGUACGAGUCAUUUACCCUGAACACAAAAGCGCAGGUUUUUCAUUGUCACGAGGAAAUGAUCACUGCAUCAGACAAAUACUGUGUAAAAUAUAUAUUGUUUGUUAAUAUUUUUCUCACAAUAAUUUAGUUCACUUAACAGUGGUUACAAUUCUGGCUUUGUUCUUGGCCAAAAAAAUAUAAGUGAGUUAUAAUGAAGAAUAUUUGAGAGGUCGAGAUGAUUGAAACAAGCCACGACUUAAAUGCAUUUUUAUACAUCAAAGUUUCAUUACAUGUGCAAGAUAUUAUUUAUUUAUCCAACCUCCAAAGCAUAAUAUUGAUAAAUUAAGCCAAAGUGAUCUUACCGUGAGUAAAUCCCCCUUCUGGCAUGUGCGUUCAGACACAAAUUGUUUCGAGCCCGUCAAAGUCUCUAUGACAACGUUGUCAUGACAACGACCCUUUGACCGCUUCAGCAGAGGCAGCUAUGAAUGUGUGCGUCAGAUUAAGGAAUGUGGUGAAAGUUCACAUUGAACCUGAGGUCAAUGGAGCUGUGGUGAGUCUGAAAAUGAACUUCACUAUGAAUAAAUGUUUCACUUACAUUUCUUUGGUUAGAAAUGUAUUUGCGUUCUAAAUACAUUAUUACUUUCUAUUGAAAAAAUAGGGUUUGAUACAUGUUGCUUUCAGCAUGAAUCAUCACAUUUAUUAAGGAAUGUGGAGCAAAUUCAAGGUCACAACACUCACUCAAGGUGUGUGGUAGUGUCUGAAAUGAUGACACCCAGCAUUUAGCAGUUGUAGUAUUUUAGUGUCAUAUAUUUUUAUUUAUGUAUAUAUUAAUAAAAUAAUAACAUUGAAUUAAAUAACAGGAAAAAGCCACAUUUCUCUUCCAUUGUUGCUUCUCAGUUGUGCCAUAACUGUUAGAUAUGUCAGUGUAAUAGAAGGGUAAAUCAAGAUCAGACCUGGCCAAACAUAUAAUAAAAUAUAUAUAUUUCAUAUAUAUAUAUAUAUGUGUGUGUCUGUAUUUGUGUGAGGUCACAGUUUUCACAUUUUCACAAAGGGAUUCAACACUUCAAUACAAAAUCUCAUUUAUUCCCGUGUUUAUCAACGAUAUAUAAUUUAAAUACUCACUACUUCAAACUUCUUUUAUGUCUUAUAUUAUCGACAUGGUUAAUAUCUGUAAUGAUGUUUUUUUUUUUUUUUUGCUGUAGUCUAUUAUAAUUCAUUUUACCUUUAAUUUAUUUCAUUUUUUAUUUCAUUUAGCUUGACGUCCUCUCACAGCAGUCAUAGUAUGUAAUAUGACCCUGUAUUUUGCUUACUUACCAGCGGAACAUGUUUAUUUGACUUUAACAUUGUGACAAAAAGAGACAUAUGAAACAGAUUUUAAUGUGGACUAAUGUUCUAGAGACACAGUUGUCAUGUAUCAGGCGCUUCUCUCUUCAAAACGUAGUGCUCAAAAUUGGCCGCUAGAUGGAGUUGUGGAACGUUUCCCUCAUGAUCCUCCUCAAGAGUUUUAUAACCGCUGCAGUGUGUGUCAUUUCUUCUGGAGGCAACUGUUGAAAAACAAGUUCAGAUGAGCUUAGAUGUGCACAUGCAACCACAGACAUAUUCUCACCCGGGUCAGAGCUCGUAUGAGUCUGUACAGCACUGCCUCCUCCCUGUGUGGACACAGUCCGGUCACUGUUCUGGCAGCGCUCAGGAGACAAUAAAUGGUGUGUUUUUGAGGCUGUGAAAGCAUCAACAAACCAAUAAGAAUCCAGUCAAUGUGGUCGUGACUGCAAAAGCUGUGAGUGUUGCGACACCUUUUUAAGCACAAAAAGAGCUAUUCCUGUGGUUUCGUCCGCUGACUAACUUGUCCACAUCCUCGCGGCUCAGGACUGGAUCCUGCGGAAGAUUUUUAAAAAGCUGAUCUGUUCAGUCACUUUAAAAUCCGUAUUUUGCUGCUGGCUACCUUCAGUUUUUCCAGCCAGGUCCACAGAAGAGUAGUGAGAACCUGAGGGUCUGACUCGGUGACCAUGAGAGCCCAGCCACAGUCGCUACUGUUCAGCUCCUCCUAGGGGGACAGUCACUUUUAGAAGUGAAAGGAUUUCUUGAACACGGCAGGAUAUAAUACCUGCAACAGUGCGGACUUCUGCAGCACAGCCUCGCCUGCAGGACCCGGCUCUGCCAGGGCUUUUGCAAUGGCACGAGCUGCUGCGGUGGACACUGGAUGAUGCUGUUGCCUGUUCAACUGGCACAGCAGGCGUCAUGACGUCUGACAUUCAUUCAAACAACCAAUUCUGAGAGGGAUUUACCUCAAAGUUGGAGUUGCAUUUUGGAAGCUGACAGCUGGAGCUCGGGAUUUUGAACGAGUGCGAUUCUUUCUUAGUGACUGGGUCCAGCAGAUGUUCAGGGCAAACCUGUGUAGUACAUGUCACUUCCUGCGCGCCCCAGUCUCUGCCCACACUGCAGGGAGCGUUGAAUUUUGGACACAACUCCAGAUCCUGCAAGCAAACAGAGGGUCUUCAGCUGUGGCUCGGUUAGAUCCAUAUCAAAGCUGACCUCGUUCAGUGUAACUCUGCAGAGUUCAGAAUCGCUGUAGCUCCUCUUGUGGAACAGCCAGUCGCUCCGUCGCUCCAGGAAUCCAAGCGGUUCAUCCCAGGAGGACACAGACCCGAGUCCCCACCGAGUGGAGCCCUGACUGUCCCUCAGUAAGGGCAAGUACUGUUUAGAAACCAGUGUCUCCCUCACAGUCCUGCCCAGGGUCCUCAGCUGUGACCUCUUCUCCAGCUCUGCGUUGAUGGCAGGGGGUGUUGGGAGUCCCAGGGCCAGGCAGGACAGACGCAGACAGAGCAGGUACAGCACCUGGCAGGGGUGGGAACGUGUCAGAGAGUCCUGCUGCUGGAGCCAAGACUGAAGAAGAAUCCUGACCUUGGGGGUGUGUCUGAGAGUUCGAGCCUCCUGGCCGUGCAGCAGGAGAGCCUGUCGGUUCAGGUAGUGCUGCAGGGUGAAGGGGGCUCCGUGUCUCAGAUUGAGGUCUGGGUACUGGACCAGUUGGGUUCCCAACAAGCGAGCGAAGUCAAACACUUGGCUGAUCUGCACUCGGGUUUGAAUGGAGCGGGGACGUUUGACGCGCACGUAGUGGACCGCCUCGCUGGGACUGAUCCGGAGAGUGUAGAUGAGGUAGCAGGCUAUGAGGACCCCUGGUGGGCAGGAGGAGAAAUGUGAAUUUGCCACUAAGACUGCGAGGAAAGUCAGACCUACCUGUCCUGCCGAGACCUGCGUGACAGUGCACCACCACUCUUCCCUGCCUCACAGCGAAAGCCAAAACCUUCACUCCAUCAAUGAUGCCCACCAGGGAUGACACCCCGAAGUCCGGCAUCCCAAAGUUGUAAAAAUAAACUACAGAUUGGAUGGACACAAGUUCAUGACCAGGAUGGAUAGGAUCAGGAACAAGUCAGUUAGGAGACCAAGUCAGAGAGGCUAGAUGGAGGUUUGUACAUGUACAGAGGAGAGAGAGUACAGAAGUUGAGGGUGGAACUGCCAGGCAGAAGGUGGAGAGGAAGGCCAAAGGAGAUUUAUGGAGGUGGUGAAGGAGGACAUGAGGUUUGUAGGUUUCAGAGAAGAGGAAGCAGAGGACAGGGGGAGAUGGAAGAAGAAGAAGAAGAAGAAGAAGAAGAAGAAGAAGAAGAAGAAGAAGAAGAAGAAGAAGAAGAAGAAGAAGAAGAAGAAGAAGAAGAAGAAGAAGAAGAAGAAGAAGAAGAAGAAGAAGAAGAAGAAGAAGAAGAAGAAGAAGAAGAAGAAGAAGAAGAAGAAGAAGAAGAAUUCAACAUCUCACUGUUAUUGUCCAUGAAGAUCUGUGGAGAGUAUGUGAAGCCACUUUCUGGGUCUAGAGGAGGUCCGCAGUGCGCGUGUUCACCGGGAAUCUGCAUGUUGAUCAGUGAUCUGAUGUUCAGCCUUAAAGUGAUUCAAAUACAAAACGCCACUCAACACAAGUGCGAGUCACCGUUGUGAAGUAGAUUGUUUAUAAAUAGAGAGUAGAAAGAAACAGAUAUUUAUGGAUGUUGAGAGACACUUAAACAGGUGUGUACUGUCAAGCUCUCCACUGAGAGAACUGUCUACUCUCACGAAGGAGGAGUUCAGAUACUAAAUAAGAUGCAGGAGCGAGAUAUGAAUAUCACAGGUGCAACAAAGACUGUACCUGUGAAAUUGAUCUAUGAUGUCGUAUUUCUCUAUCAGAUGCUUGGACGGUCGAGCCAUAGCGAUUAUAUCAUCCGUCACCCUGGAAGAGAGAAGAAAAACCCCUGAGAUUUAGUGAGAAUUAUAUAUAAUUCAGUCUUGGAUAUAAAAAGAAAGACGGAAAAUAAAGUUCUAACCAGGAGGAGAAAAGUCCACGGAUGACCUGCUGGCUUGAUUUCCAACACUCGGGCCCUUCGUAGCGGCAGUCGACUCCCCCGCAGGCCAGCAAGCAGAGGAUCCUGGGGGGGAUGGCCCGCACCAGGUUCUCCCGGGCCUGCGAGUAGGCUGGGCGAGGGACCGGGAUGUGAAUCAUCCUUGUGGGACAGACCUGCUUCUCUUACCCUGCUGUUAUCAGUGAGUCACACCUGACUGAGCCGCUCUUCUGAGGCGUCCGGCAGCUCACUGCUGCGGGACCCACACAAGGAGCUGACGCAGCUUCGGCGUGGUUAAGCCAGAUUAGCUAGCUAGCUUCAGCAAGCCAAUUAAAUAUUGCUUAUUCUUUAAAGGCCUGUCUCCGAACUUCAAUUCUGUGGCUCAUAGUGAAACCACUUGAUUUGUAAGAUUUAUUAUUGUGCAAACAUGCAACAGAAAAAAUGUGCAUCUAAAAUGGUAGAAUGAGAAGUGAACCUCUGAACCCAGAGGUGGUUUAUCGUUCUCUGGAAACAGUGCAUAACUUUUCUGUAUGAGACGGACCUUUGUUUGUGAGGACCUGCAGUGUGAUGUCAGGCUCAGUCAGAGAGGAGGCAAUAAACAGGGGAGAAUUGAUGAUGGGACUUGAACAUGAGUGGCGGAGGUGUUUUCACCUUGCAGGCCAUUGAAAACAUAUACAGUGGUACCUCGGUUUUAGAACGUCCUGAACUUCGAACUAAUCGGAGUUCGAACAAAAAUUGCAAGAUGUUUUUGCUUCGGAUU